UACAGAGGUCUCGAGCGUUAGGCGGAAUCACUGGGCUUAAAGCGUGUGUAGGCGGAUCGGUAAGUACCUUGUGAAAUCCCACAGCUUAACUGUGGAACUGCUUGGUAUACUGCCAGUCUUGAGCCAGCUAGGGGCUACCGGAACAAAUGGUGGAGCGGUGAAAUGCGUAGAUAUCAUUUGGAACGCCCAAUGGUGAAAACAGGUAGCUGGGGCUGUGCUGACGCUGAGACACGAAAGCCAGGGGAGGCAAAACGGG
rnacentral:rRNA from 1 species